GACUUCCACCUGUCAUCUGCCUGUAAUCAAGCUUCCACACCUGAUUUCAAUAAUCAACUAACGACAACCUGAAACUGCAGAGUCCUACCGAUCAGGAAAGCUUAGUCAUCCAGCUCCAUGGCAAGUCAACAGCACUAUCAAGGUCUGGAGCCCAUACAGGAGGAGUCGGAGCAGGAAGAUGACAUUGAAGGAAGAAAAAGAGGGGAGGAGGAGGAGGAGGAUGAGGAUGAUUAUCAUCAUCAUCAAUUUGGAGUAGAUGUGGAGACAAAUGAGGUAAUGGCAGAAGUUGAGAGCGAAGAAGAUGAAGAUGAUGGUGCUCUGCUGAGCGUUCUGAGACCGAGGCGACUGCCUCGUUCCCUCCGCCAAAAGAAUCUUCUGCAAAUCCAAUAUACCAAUAAUCAGCAGGAGGAAAUGGUGAAUUUCUCUGGGUCAGAUCAGAGCACACAUGCAGUGGAUUUAAGUGAUGAACCUACCACACAUCAGCAGACACUGUUAGGAAAUGAGAAGAGGUCCAGUAGUGGUAUGCUGAGAAUAAAGGUCUCCAAGAAUAAAUGGCCAAAACACUCACCACCUAAACUGUCAGUGCAGAAGAAGACAAAGAAGACAACGCACAAGUCUCUGGCUAAACAGCAGUUUCCUCAGUGGCUGGUGGACGUGAUGAUCAACAUUGAAGCGGCAACAACUCAUCAACUGGUGGUUGAGUAACGUUCUUCACAGGCCUCACAAG
rnacentral:lncRNA from 1 species